rnacentral:rRNA from 1 species
AUACGGAGGGUGCGAACGUUAAUCGGAAUUACUGGGCGUAAAGCGCGCGUAGGCGGUUCGACAAGUGGGAUGUGAAAGCCCAGGGCUUAACCUUGGAACUGCAUUCCAAACUGUCGGACUAGAGUAUGGUAGAGGGAGGUAGAAUUUCCUGUGUAGCGGUGAAAUGCGUAGAUAUAGGAAGGAAUACCGGUGGCGAAGGCGGCCUCCUGGACCAAUACUGACGCUGAGGUGCGAAAGCGUGGGGAGCAAACAGGAUUAGAAACCCCGGUAGUCC